rnacentral:rRNA from 1 species
UACAGAGGUCUCAAGCGUUGUUCGGAUUCAUUGGGCGUAAAGGGUGUGUAGGUGGCGCGCUAAGUCGGGUGUGAAAUUUCGGAGCUUAACUCCGAAACUGCAUUCGAUACUGGCGUGCUUGAGGACUGGAGAGGAGACUGGAAUUUACGGUGUAGCAGUGAAAUGCGUAGAUAUCGUAAGGAAGACCAGUGGCGAAGGCGGGUCUCUGGACAGUUCCUGACACUGAGACACGAAGGCCCAGGGGGAGCAAAACGGG